rnacentral:rRNA from 1 species
AUGCCUACGGGGCGCAGCAGUAGGGAAUCUUCGGCAAUGGGGGCAACCCUGACCGAGCAACGCCGCGUGAGUGAAGAAGGUUUUCGGAUCGUAAAGCUCUGUUGUAAGAGAAGAACGUGUGUGAGAGUGGAAAGUUCACACAGUGACGGUAACUUACCAGAAAGGGACGGCUAACUACGUGCCAGCAGCCGCGGUAAUACGUAGGUCGCGAGCGUUAUCCGGAUUUAUUGGGCGUAAAGCGAGCGCAGGCGGUUGGAUAAGUCUGAUGUUAAAGGCUGCGGCUCAACCGUGGUAUG